CUACGGGAGGCAGCAGUGGGGAAUAUUGGACAAUGGGGGAAACCCUGAUCCAGCAAUGCCGCGUGUGUGAAGAAGGCCUGCGGGUUGUAAAGCACUUUCGGUUGGGAGGACUGCUUCUAGCACUAAUAUUGUUGGAAGUUGACGUUACCUUCAGAAGAAGCACCGGCUAACUCCGUGCCAGCAGCCGCGGUAAUACGGAGGGUGCAUGCGUUAAUCGGAAUUACUGGGCGUAAAGCGCGCGUAGGCGGCUAGAUCAGUCGGGUGUGAAAGCCCCAGGCUUAACCUGGGAACUGCAUCCGAUACUGUCUAGCUUGAGUACAGGAGAGGAGAGUGGAAUUCCACAUGUAGCGGUGAAAUGCGUAGAUAUGUGGAGGAACACCAAUGGCGAAGGCAGCUCUCUGGCCUGAUACUGACGCUGAGGUGCGAAAGCGUGGGGAGCAAACAGGAUUAGAUACCCGCGUAGUC
rnacentral:rRNA from 1 species